UACGAGGGGGGCGAGCGUUGUUCGGAAUUAUUGGGCGUAAAGGGUGCGUAGGCGGUUUGUCGCGUCUGCUGUGAAAACCCGAGGCUCAACCUCGGGCCUGCAGUGGGUACGGGCAGACUAGAGUGCGGUAGGGGAGAUUGGAAUUCCUGGUGUAGCGGUGGAAUGCGCAGAUAUCAGGAGGAACACCGAUGGCGAAGGCAGAUCUCUGGGCCGUAACUGACGCUGAGGAGCGAAAGCAUGGGGAGCGAACAGG
rnacentral:rRNA from 1 species